UGCUUCUUUAAUUAGCACUACAGUUUCCAGCUGUGCUAACAUAAUUGCGAAAGGGUUUUGGUCAAUGAUCAAUUAGCGUUUUAAAAUAAUAAACUUGGAUUAGCUAACACAACAUGCCAUUUUAGCACCGAAGUGAUUGUUGCUGAUAAUGGGCCUCUGUACGCCUAUGUAGGUAUUCCAUUAAAAAUCAGCUGUUUCCCAGCUACAUGACCUUUAAAAGGUCAUUUACAACGUAAACAAUGUCUACACUGUAUUUCUGAUCAAUUUGAUGUUAUUUUAAUGGACAAAAAAAUCUGAAUUUCUUUUAAAAAGGACAUUUCUCAUUUCUAGUGACCCCAAACUUUUGAACGGUAGUGUAUAUAUAUUAUUAAUGAUGUAAUUGUUAUCUUUAGUGUUAAUAGGCCAUAGAUGUGAAACAAAUAAACAGGUUCCACAGUGAAACCCAGCCAUUGGUCGUUCUCCAUCCAUGUCAUAGUGUCGCUCCUCUGUUACAUUGGCCACUGUCUCCAAACUUUCCACUUCAGUAGAGUAUGUAUCCAUUUUUAGAAACGAGCAGUGCAAGAGAUUCAUUUAUCGGUUUUAAUUGCAAGUCGAAGACAGACGUAAUUUCCUCACUAACAAUCUCUUGGAUAGUAUUGGCCAACUCUUUCUGUUGUCAGGUGUUUUAAUAAACAUCUUUAUUUUGCAUUCAAGCCUCAGUUUUGGAAGUAUUCAUUUUUUCGACAGUGUGCGGGUCGCCAUCUCUUCCAUCUCUUUCUGUAGACCAUACUUUUUUUAAUGGCUCAGAAUAUGAGCUUUCCAAAAGUUGUUUAUAUGCUUUUCUAGCAUUGUUAUUUUGACUCCUACACACCUGGAACAGACACUAUUCAGCAGUAAGGACCUUAAAACAGAGCAGACGGCAUCUUAUCAUUCAUGGGUGUUGAGAAGCGCCAUGUUCCCACAGGUGAAUUAUGAAUGGACAGAAUAGGCCAGCUACUGGAGAGAAAUAGACCUGCUAUUGUUCUUUUUUAAUACAGUGACCGGCCCACACCUUAAUGUGAUGUUAUAUGUAUUACACAUUUAUUUGAAAAUAAGUCAGUUCAUUCCUAGUUAUUUUGCAAAAGAAUAGCCAGGAGAAAGCCACAAUGUAUGCCAGCGGAGCGGGAUACGGUUGAAGAGGUUGCCAGGUGUUGGGUUGCCAGGUAUUGGGUUGCCAGGUGUUGGGUUGCCAGGUGUUGGGUUGACAGGUAUUGGGUUGCCAGGUGUUGGGUUGCCAGGUGUUGGGUUGCCAGGUGUUGGGUUGACAGGUGUUGGGUUGCCAGGUGUUGGGUUGACAGGUGUUGGGUUGACAGGUGUUGGGUUGACAGGUGUUGGGUUGCCAGGUGUUGGGUUAAGGUCACUACUGUAUGAGGAAAGAGCUGUAAUGUGUCUGACUCUGACUCUGCUCU